GACGAACGCUGGCGUCGUGCCUAAUACCUGCAAGUCGAACGCAGUGGGGACGGGUGAGUAACACGUGGGUAACCUCCCAUCAAAGUGGAUAACACUUGGAAACAGGUGCUAAACCGAUACUGACGAAUGGACCCGCGGUGGAUUAGCGAGUUGGGGAGGUAACGGCUCACCAAGGCCACGAUGCAUAGCAGAACUGAGAGGGUGAGCGGCCACACUGGGACUGAGACACGGCCCAGACUCCGACGGGAGGCAGCAGUAGGGAAUCUGCGGCAAUGGACUAAAGUCUGACCGAGCAACGCAGCGUGAGUGAAGAAGGUUUUCGGAUCGGAAAGCACUGUUGUUAGAGAAGCGGGAUCUAACCAGAAAGCCACGGCUAAAUACGUGCCAGCAGCCGCGGUAAUAC
rnacentral:rRNA from 1 species